UAUUAUCAAGCCAUUUUACACCCCUAUAUAAGAGCAUAUUACUCUUUGAAUGAAUACACAUCUUCAUUAUAUUUCUCUCCCUUCUUCUAAUUUAUCUUCCAAAAUGUCUUCAAUUAGAACUUUGUCAUACUCACUUGAAGAAGAUAUACAUUUAUGUCGUGUAUAUCUUGACAUUUCUCAAAAUCCAAUUAUAGGAAUAAACCAAUCCUAAGAUCAGUUUUGGGUAAGAGUGGAAGCUGAGUACCACUUACCCGAGAUGUUUACGACUCAACGUAGACCUAGAAGAUCUUUGCAAAGCCAAAUGACAACAAUUCUUGCUGCAGUUUCAAAAUUCAGAGGAUGCAUUAAUCAAAUUGAAAACAAAAAUUCGAGUGGUGCUUCAGAGCAAGAUAUUAUAAAUCAAGAAAAAAUAUUCAAAUAUGAUCAUGUGUGGCCCAUACUUAAAGAUUGUGAGAAAUUUACAAAUAACAAUGCCAAUGGAGCAACUAGAUUUCAACAACAAGGUGGAAACUUUACUGUAUCCCAAUCAGGCUCUCUCGAUUUUGAGUCAUCAACAUCGGCAUCCCCUGGUAUGAAUUCAUUUGAUCUCAAUAUGACUGAUGAACAAAUCGAUGUUAACUUAACAGAAAGACCUAUUGGUGUGAAGAAAGCAAAAGAAAAAGUCAAAAGUGAAGAACAAUAUAAAAAACUAAUGGAACAGAGUGAACGACUUGUUGAAGCAUUAAUAAAGAGUAACUGUGACAGAAAUGAAAUUCAAAGAGAAAAAAAAUAGGAUUCAAAAGCAAAAAAAUGAUGUGGCUACAAUGAAAGAGGAAAAUAAAAUUAUAUUUAUGGAUUCAAACUCUAUAUCCGAUUUAGAGAGUCGUAAGUAUAUUCAAAGUAAAAAAAAAAAGAAUACUAAAAAAAAGAGCACAAACAUCGCAACAUGAAGAACAAGGAGAAGGAUCUGAAUAUCAGGGUUCUCAAUACCGAGCAUCUCAACAUCAAGGAACUGAAGAUGCAGGAUCUUUAGGUGAAGGAUCUGAAAAUUCAUCAAAAGAUUAUAGUCAAUAUUAUAAUUAUCUUGGCGGAACUGGAAAUGACUUUUCGCAUUUUUAGAUUUAGUUAAUUUUUUUUCUAAGUUCUAUGUUGCUUUGUUUUGGUGUUGUCUUAGUAUGUUUCAUUAUUAUGUUAGUUUUUUUAACUUUGUUUAAACUCUUUGUUUGUUUCGUUUCCUUAAGUGUAUUUGAAUUUAAUUUUAUAUGUUUGCUUAAGUGUGUAAUGUUUUAAUUUUUUUUUAUGUGGUACUUUUAAUUAAUGGAUGUAGUAUAUAGUUUUCUUA